rnacentral:rRNA from 1 species
UACGUAGGGGGCAAGCGUUGUCCGGAAUCAUUGGGCGUAAAGAGCGUGUAGGCGGCCAGGUAGGUCUGCUGUGAAAACUCGAGGCUUAACCUCGAGCUGUCGGCGGAAACCAUCUGGCUAGAGUCCGGAAGAGGAGAAUGGAAUUCCCGGUGUAGCGGUGAAAUGCGCAGAUAUCGGGAAGAACACCCGUGGCGAAGGCGGUUCUCUGGGACGGUACUGACGCUGAGGCACGAAGGCCAGGGGAGCAAACGGG